rnacentral:rRNA from 1 species
CAUAUGGAUUCCUACGGGAGGCAGCAGUGGGGAAUAUUGCACAAUGGGCGAAAGCCUGAUGCAGCGACGCCGCGUGAGGGAUGAAGGCCUUCGGGUUGUAAACCUCUUUCAGCAGGGAAGAAGCAGCCGGGUUUUCUUGGUUGUGACGGUACCUGCAGAAGAAGCACCGGCUAACUACGUGCCAGCAGCCGCGGUAAUACGUAGGGUGCAAGCGUUGUCCGGAAUUAUUGGGCGUAAAGAGCUUGUAGGCGGUUUGUCGCGUCUGCUGUGAAAUUUCGGGGCUCAACCCCGAACUUGCAGUGGGUACGGGCAGACUAGAGUGUGGUAGGGGAGACUGGAAUUCCUGGUGUAGCGGUGAAAUGCGCAGAUAUCAGGAGGAACACCGAUGGCGAAGGCAGGUCUCUGGGCCACUACUGACGCUGAGAAGCGAAAGCAUGGGGAGCGAACAGGAUUAGAUACCCUGGUAGUCCAUGCCGUAAACGUUGGGAACUAGGUGUGGGCCUCAUUCCACGAGGUCCGUGCCGCAGCUAACGCAUUAAGUUCCCCGCCUGGGGAGUACGGCCGCAAGGCUAAAACUCAAAGGAAUUGACGGGGGCCCGCACAAGCGGCGGAGCAUGCGGAUUAAUUCGAUGCAACGCGAAGAACCUUACCAAGGCUUGACAUGUGCCGGUAAAGUGCAGAGAUGUGCUCCCCGCAAGGUCGGUACACAGGUGGUGCAUGGUUGUCGUCAGCUCGUGUCGUGAGAUGUUGGGUUAAGUCCCGCAACGAGCGCAACCCUCGUUCUAUGUUGCCAGCACGUGAUGGUGGGGACUCAUAGGAGACUGCCGGGGUCAACUCGGAGGAAGGUGGGGAUGACGUCAAAUCAUCAUGCCCCUUAUGUCUUGGGCUUCACGCAUGCUACAAUGGCCAGUACAAAGGGCUGCGAUACCGCAAGGUGGAGCGAAUCCCAAAAAACUGGUCUCAGUUCGGAUUGGGGUCUGCAACUCGACCCCAUGAAGUCGGAGUCGCUAGUAAUCGCAGAUCAGCAACGCUGCGGUGAAUACGUUCCCGGGCCUUGUACACACCGCCAUCGGAU